CUUCUCUCCUGCGAAAGGUGAUUCAGUGGCGGGCUCUAUCGGUUGGUCUCGCUCUAAUCGUCGUUACAUCUCUUCUUACUCUUAUCCUCCAUCGUCUUCUCCACUAUUGUCUCCUCUCGGUUUCAAGCUUCUCUUUGGUCAAACAACAGGUCUGGUGAGCAAGCGUGUACUGCUUAUGUGAUGUUCAAGGAUUCUUAUUCUCAAGAAACUGCAGUUUUCAAUUUGCGAGCCAUUUCUCGGUGAAUAGAAUUCAGUGUACUCGGAAUCGGACGAGGAGUGGAGCGAGUAGGGCGACGUUUCAUUCUGCGUUCACUGGCACUAACAAUUCAGCUUCUCUCUCUUCUAAGGGUACCUCCACGAGGGAGAUAUGGAGCUGGGUGAAAUCAAAGACAGUUGGCCAUGGAAGAUACAGAAGGAGCGAAGUGAGAGCGGAGAUGUUUGGUCAACUGAGUAGUGGACUCGAGGCUGCUUGGACCAAACUCAAAGGAGAAGGUUCGUGUUUCUCUUGUAAAUAUCUAAAGCCAUUAGCUUUUGGUAGUUUU